rnacentral:lncRNA from 1 species
UUUGGUAGGGAGGGGGCAAAUACCCUAUCCCAAAAGGAAAUGUACACAGCACAGAUAAAUAGAUAGUAAAGAUGGCAGAGCACUGGUUAUACCAAGCAACAUGAGAUGUAAAGAUGGCGGAGCAGCUUCCACUCUGGUUAUACCAAGUUGCAUGAGGUAUCAUAA